UAAUACGUAGGGUGCAAGCGUUGUCCGGAUUUAUUGGGUUUAAAGGGUGCGUAGGCGGCCCUGUAAGUCAGUGGUGAAAUACUCCAGCUUAACUGGAGGGGUGCCAUUGAUACUGCAGGGCUUGAGUUAAGUUGAAGUUGGCGGAAUUGACGGUGUAGCGGUGAAAUGCUUAGAUAUCGUCAAGAACACCGAUAGUGAAGACAGCUAACUAAACUUUUACUGACGCUGAGGCACGAAAGUGUGGGGAUCAAACAGGAUUAGAUACCCUGGUAGUCCACACUGUAAACGUUGAUUACUCGCUGUGUGCGAUAUACAGUACGCGGCCAAGCGAAAGCGAUAAGUAAUCCACCUGGGGAGUACGCCGGCAACGGUG
rnacentral:rRNA from 1 species